rnacentral:rRNA from 1 species
CACGUAGGGCGCGAGCGUUGUCCGGAAUUACUGGGCGUAAAGCGUGCGCAGGCGGUGAGCUGUGUCCGAUGUGAAAGCCCCGGGCUUAACCUGGGAAUGGCAUUGGAAACUGGCUCGCUGGAGUGUGGCAGAGGGGGGUGGAAUUCCGCGUGUAGCAGUGAAAUGCGUAGAGAUGCGGAGGAACACCGAUGGCGAAGGCAGCCCCCUGGGCUAACACUGACGCUCAGGCACGAAAGCGUGGGGAGCAAACAGG